CCUACGGGUGGCUGCAGUGGGGAAUAUUGCACAAUGGGCGCAAGCCUGAUGCAGCCAUGCCGCGUGUGUGAAGAAGGCCUUCGGGUUGUAAAGCACUUUCAGCGGGGAGGAAGGCGGUGAGGUUAAUAACCUCAUCGAUUGACGUUACCCGCAGAAGAAGCACCGGCUAACUCCGUGCCAGCAGCCGCGGUAAUACGGAGGGUGCAAGCGUUAAUCGGAAUUACUGGGCGUAAAGCGCACGCAGGCGGUCUGUCAAGUCGGAUGUGAAAUCCCCGGGCUCAACCUGGGAACUGCAUUCGAAACUGGCAGGCUAGAGUCUUGUAGAGGGGGGUAGAAUUCCAGGUGUAGCGGUGAAAUGCGUAGAGAUCUGGAGGAAUACCGGUGGCGAAGGCGGCCCCCUGGACAAAGACUGACGCUCAGGUGCCAAAGCGUGGGGAGCAAACAGGAUUAGAUACCCCAGUAGUC
rnacentral:rRNA from 1 species